rnacentral:rRNA from 1 species
GGGAGAGAGGGGUCGGAUUUGGACGUCUGCGGCGGGGUCUUCUUCCCGCCGCUCGUCUUCAAACGCAUUAGCUUCUGAUCCCGGAAGUCGGCCCGAUGACGGUGUGAUAAAGAGACGUCCCCGUUGACUGUGGCGCCGUUUGGGUCGACUUUGAAUCGGGGUUCGCUUACAGCCGUCCUCUUUUCGGACAAAACACGUUCACGUCGUCUGACCUCAAAUCAGGUAGGACUACCCGCUGAACUUAAGCAUAUCAAUAAGCGGAGGAAAAGAAACCAACAGGGAUUCCCCUAGUAACGGCGAGUGAAGCGGGAAGAGCUCAAAUUUGAAAUCUG